UACGUAGGGUGCAAGCGUUGUCCGGAAUCAUUGGGCGUAAAGCGCGUGUAGGCGGCUUGGUAAGUCUGCUCUGAAAGCCCGGGGCUCAACCCCGGGAGGCGGGUGGAUACUGCUGAGCUCGAGUCCGGAAGAGGCGAGUGGAAUUCCUGGUGUAGCGGUGAAAUGCGCAGAUAUCAGGAGGAACACCGAUGGCGAAGGCAGCUCGCUGGGACGGUACUGACGCUGAGACGCGAAAGCGUGGGGAGCGAACAGG
rnacentral:rRNA from 1 species